GGCAGGAUGGCCGAGUGGUCUAAGGCGCUGCGUUCAGGUCGCAGUCUCCCAUGGAGGCGCGGGUUCGAAUCCCGCUCCUGUCA
rfam:Ciona savignyi cont_17962, whole genome shotgun sequence.